CCCGCUGAACUUAAGCAUAUCAAUAAGCGGAGGAAAAGAAACUAACAAGGAUUCCCCUAGUAACUGCGAGUGAAGCGGGAAAAGCUCAAAUUUAAAAUCUGGCGGUCCUUGUGGCUGUCCGAGUUGUAAUCUAGAGAAGUGCUAUCCGCGCUGGACCGUGUACAAGUCUCCUGGAAUGGAGCGUCAUAGAGGGUGAGAAUCCCGUCCUUGACACGGAAUCCCGGUGCAUUGCGUUGCGCUUUCUAAGAGUCGAGUUGUUUGGGAAUGCAGCUCAAAUUGGGUGGUAAAUUCCAUCUAAAGCUAAAUAUUGGCGAGAGACCGAUAGCGAACAAGUACCGUGAGGGAAAGAUGAAAAGCACUUUGGAAAGAGAGUUAAACAGUACGUGAAAUUGUUGAAAGGGAAACGCUUGAAGUCAGUCUUGUCUUGUGGGACUCAGCCUAGCUCUGCUUGGUGCAUUUCCCAUUUGACAGGCCAGCGUCCAUUUUGACCGUCGGAAACGGGUUUUGGGAAUGUGGCUCCCCCGGGAGUGUUAUAGCCCUUGGCUUUUACGGCGGUUGGGAUGGAGUCUAACGGCACGCUUCGGUGGUGCUUGUGCUGGCGUAAUGGCUUUAAACGACCCGUCUUGAAACACGG
rnacentral:rRNA from 1 species